AUGGGAAGGCAUCCCAUUGGGCUCUAGAAAACUAUGUCUCCUUUUGUACUAAGUCUUCUCCUUUUUUCAUUUGUUGUAAUUUUUCGAACAUUAGUAGGUCUUGUAAUUUUAUGGCCCAUAAUGUGGCUUAUUGGGCUUUUAACAACCAUAUGUACGGAUCUAUUCCGAUUAACUCUUUACCGGAGAACAUUUUGUGUAAUGACCGAGAGGUCUAAUUUCGUUUAAUAUAUAUAACUACGAUUUUUCUCACAGAAAGUUCUCUAUUGUAGUUGCUCUUUUUAUGAGUCAAAUUGUCUUUAUUAAUUUAAAGGUAUUGGAAUUAUCAAUAUUGUUAUUUUAAUUAUGACUAAUAUGGUUUUUUAGUUUUUAUGGCACGUAUUUUUUGGUUUUUGUAAGGCAAUAUAUCUAGUUUUGUAAAUGGUUUGUUUUUAUUGAUUUUGUAAGGCCAAUGUGGCUAGUUUUUUUGUAUGGCCAAUGUGGCUAGUUUUCUUUGUACGACCAAUGUGGUUAGUUUUGGUUUUGUAAGGCCAGUAUGGCUAUUUUAGUUUUGUAAGGCUAGUAUGGCUAGUUUUUGGUUUUGUAAGGCCAGUAUGGCUAGUUUUAAUUUUGUAAGUGUAAUCACCGUCAGGAAUGGAGAUGAAAAUAGAUAAGUAUCUACGUCAGAGAAUUCUAUGUGACUAUUUAUAUAAAAUUUCAUAUUUUAUUUUAUUUUAUUUAUAAGGGAAAUUUCAUUUUUUUAUUAAAUAUUUAUUAUGUAUUAAUUAAUUUCUCUUUAUUUUGCAGGUGUUUUACUAGUGGUUCGGAAGUGACAACUCUCAGUUUUGAGGUUUUCUUUUCUGAUAUUAUGGUUUUAUUGUCUAGCUCUCCUAGGGUAUCUCUGCAUGCUCUUAGGAUAGACAAUAAACUAUUAUAGAUGGAAGAAAAUUCUCCUCUGGUUGUGUAACUUUGUUACCUUUGUUAUUUUAACCUGUAUCGGUUACCCUACAAAAAAAAAUAAAAAAUAAAUAAA